rnacentral:rRNA from 1 species
UUACGCUGUUAUCCCUAAGGUAAUUUAGUCUUAUAAUCAACAAAAAUGGAUCAAAUAUAUAUAAAUAAAUAUAAAAAAAUAAAAAGAGUUAAUUAAAUCUUUCCAUCACCCCAACAAAAUAAAUUUUCAAAUUAAAAAAAUAUCAUACAAAAAAAUAAAAAUAUAUAUAAACUCUAUAGGGUCUUCUCGUCCCAAAAAAAUAUUUAGGCAUUUUAACCUAAAAUUUAAAUUCAAUAAAUAAAUUAAAGACAGUUUACACCUCGUCAAACCAUUCAUUCCAGCCUACAAUUAAAAGACUAAUGAUUAUGCUACCUUUGCACGGUCAAAAUACCGCGGCCCUUCAAUACUCAGUGGGCAGGCCAUACAUCAAAAUAUAUUUCAAGAAGAGAUGUUUUUGAUAAACAGGCG